UCUCCGUAGGUGAACCUGCGGAGGGAUCAUUAACACGUUUCCAAAAAAACGUUUAUCCAACCAAACAUCUGUGAACACGAAACAACUCCCUUUGCAGCGCGACGAACGCCUUAGUUGGGUGGAACAUGGAAUAAGGUAUGAAAUAAUCAUGUUACUGUCUGUUUCGGACGGUAGCAGGACUUCAUACCCUCCGUGUUGCUAGACGUUCUAGGGGUCCCUCGAGGCCCCAAUCGCCUGUGAAGUGUCAUUGCGACCUCCUGGCAGACUGCUUUCGCAUGUCCCUUCGGGGGUAUGAGUCUAAGCAGCGUCUGCCGAACAUAUUUCACCAAACACAUUUUUAACCCCUUUCACAACAUACUAAAAACUGAACCUUUUUUUUCUAUGUCACAUCACUCGUGAUGUCAACAUUCAAAAAAGAUAUACGUAAUGCUGAACAACUCUUAGCAAUGGAUAUCUUGGUUCUC
rnacentral:misc_RNA from 1 species